rnacentral:rRNA from 1 species
GACGUAGGGCGCGAGCGUUGUCCGGAUUUAUUGGGCGUAAAGAGCUCGUAGGCGGCUUGUCGCGUCGACUGUGAAAACCCGCGGCUCAACCGCGGGCCUGCAGCCGAUACGGGCAGGCUGGAGUUCGGUAGGGGAGACUGGAAUUCCUGGUGUAGCGGUGAAAUGCGUAGAGAUCGGCAGGAACACCCAGGGGGAAACCAGCCGACUGGGCAUCUACUGACGCUGAGGUGCGAGAGCGUGGGGAGCGAACCGG